rnacentral:rRNA from 1 species
UACGGAGGGGGCUAGCGUUGUUCGGAAUUACUGGGCGUAAAGCGCACGUAGGCGGCUUUGCAAGUUAGAGGUGAAAGCCCGGGGCUCAACUCCGGAAUUGCCUUUAAAACUGCAUCGCUAGAAUUGUGGAGAGGUAAGUGGAAUUCCGAGUGUAGAGGUGAAAUUCGUAGAUAUUCGCAAGAACACCAGUGGCGAAGGCGGCUUACUGGACCGGUUCUGACGCUGAGGCGCGAAAGCGUGGGGAGCAAACAGG